GAGUGAACGCUGGCGGCAGGCCUAACACAUGCAAGUCGAGCGGCAGCGGGUUCCCGCGAGGGGAUGCCGGCGAGCGGCGGACGGGUGAGGAACACAUCGGAAUCUGCCUGGUUGUGGGGGAUAACGUAGGGAAACUUACGCUAAUACCGCAUGAGACCCUGAGUCGACGGACUGGGGGUGAAAGUGAGGGACCUUCGGGCCUCACGCGACCAGAUGAGCCGAUGUCGGAUUAGCUAGUUGGCGGGGUAACGGCCCGCCAAGGCGACGAUCCGUAGCUGGUCUGAGAGGAUGAUCAGCCACACUGGGACUGAGACACGGCCCAGACUCCUACGGGAGGCAGCAGUGGGGAAUCUUGG
rnacentral:rRNA from 1 species